rnacentral:snoRNA from 1 species
CUGCUAAGAUCACAAAAGUAUACAGCUGUAAAACCAAGAACUCUUAAUACUAUAACAAAAUAUUGAAGUUUUCCACAGGGGGCCUAAGUCACUCAAUAGUGUUAUAAUAGUUAACUGAGGAGAUGGAUGA